rnacentral:rRNA from 1 species
GGGAAUAUUGGACAAUGGGCGCAAGCCUGAUCCAGCAAUACCACGUGAGUGAUGACGGCCUUCGGGUUGUAAAACUCUUUUAGUAGGGAAGAUAAUGACGGUAACUACAGAAAAAGCACCGGCUAACUUCGUGCCAGCAGCCGCGGUAAUACGAAGGGUGCUAGAGUUGUUCGGAAUCCUUGGGCGUAAAGCGUGCGUAGGCGGUUUGGUAAGUCAGCUGUGAAAGCCCAGGGCUCAACCCUGGAACUGCAGUUGAAACUACCAUGACUAGAGUAUGGCGGGGGAUAGUGGAAUUCCUAGUGUAGGGGUGAAAUCCGUAGAUAUUAGGAGGAACAUCAGUGGCGAAAGCGACUAUCUACACCAUUACUGACGCUGAGGUACGAAAGCGUGGGGAGCAAAC